AGCUUUUCGCAUCUGUGCUGAGAUUUCGUCAGACACCACCCCAUUAGGGUUGAUCAGACUUCUAAGAUAAGUGAAGUU
rnacentral:pre_miRNA from 1 species